rnacentral:lncRNA from 1 species
AGUGGAGUCGCUAGAGCAAUGCUCGGAGGGUAGGUGCCUCGUGGUAAGUGGCGAGUGGGCCGGUGAUGCUGGACCCACAGGGAGCGCGUGAUCUGCGUUUAAAGUCCGCCGAGGUAUCCUCACCCUUCUCAGCCGCUCAUGUACCUGUUGCCCUCUUGUUGCUUUUCAGUGACUGAUUCCCGGGGGCCCAGUAAGUGAGUUGGCGAGUCUCCACCUGCCAUUUUUACGUGUAUUUAUUACAUUGUUAUCGGCAGGUGCCAUAGUUCCCGUAGUUUCCCCAUUCCUAGUCCAUUAGCAUCCCAUCACAAUAGCCCAAGUAGUUUUCAUCCAUAGUUAGCAAUAGUUUAGCACAGAA